CUUCUCGGCCUCCAUGUUUGCAUCUCAACUGCGUGCUCCAGGUCUCUAUCGUCCGUCUAGAGAGAGAGCUACAUCUCACUAGAAGGCCUUACUUUCUAGAGGCUGGGAAUUCCAAGAUCAAGGUGCCACAGACCUGAUGUCUGGACCAUUUACAG